rfam:Otolemur garnettii contig097115, whole genome shotgun sequence.
AUUGCGUUAAUGAGAACAGAAACAUAAACUAUGACCUAGGGGUUUUUGUUGGAAAGUGAGCAAU